rnacentral:rRNA from 1 species
GAUGAACGCUAGCGAUAGGCUUAACACAUGCAAGUCGAGGGGCAGCAUGGUCUUAGCUUGCUAAGACUGAUGGCGACCGGCGCACGGGUGCGUAACGCGUAUGCAACUUGCCUCACAGAGGGGGAUAACCCGUCGAAAGACGGACUAAUACCGCGUACACUUGGGAUAUGGCAUCCUGACCCAAGGAAAUGAAAUUCGCUGUGAGAUAGGCAUGCGUCCCAUUAGCUAGUUGGUGAGGUAACGGCUCACCAAGGCGACGAUGGGUAGGGGAACUGAGAGGUUGAACCCCCACACUGGUACUGAGACACGGACCAGACUCCUACGGGAGGCAGCAGUGAGGAAUAUUGGUCAAUGGGCGAGAGCCUGAACCAGCCAAGUCGCGUGAAGGAUGACUGUCUUAUGGAUUGUAAACUUCUUUUAUACGGGAAUAACAAGAGCCACGUGUGGCUCCCUGCAUGUACCGUAUGAAUAAGCAUCGGCUAACUCCGUG